UACGUAGGGGGCUAGCGUUGUCCGGAAUCAUUGGGCGUAAAGCGCGUGUAGGCGGCCCGAUAAGUCCGCUGUGAAAGUCCAGGGCUCAACCCUGGGAUGCCGGUGGAUACUGUCGGGCUCGAGUCCGGAAGAGGCGAGUGGAAUUCCUGGUGUAGCGGUGAAAUGCGCAGAUAUCAGGAGGAACACCGAUUGCGAAGGCAGCUCGCUGGGACGUCACUGACGCUGAGACGCGAAAGCGUGGGGAGCAAACAGG
rnacentral:rRNA from 1 species